CAAGCAGUGGCAGAUAGCAACAUCUCGGUCUAUCCCCAUCAACAACUGGACACGCUCUGGACUUGUGGAAUGGUGUGCGUCCACAAAGCAUAAAUCAUGUUUCUGAAUUGUUAACCGAUCUACAUUUCAAAACAUCAUUUCCAAGAACUCCAUAUUCUCCAUAUCCCAGAGACGAUGGACCUAAACACAGAGGAUCUCCUUAUAGAUAGUGUUAUACACGCAGAAGAUGAUGCUACCAGACCGUGACUGCUAAGAGCUGCAGAUAGGAGCAUCUCAAAGAACUUCACCUACUCUAAGGGAAACACCACCAACUGUGGUAAAAAAAAAGUUAAUCAGCUGUGCCAGUGAUUGUCCGGGAGGUGAGUUUGUUAAUUUCGUUACCCAUCAUUCAUGCAGUUUGUUCGAGAGGGCCGGUUCCGUCAGGCUGACAUGUAAAACUAUCUCUUGUGGCUCCUAAAAUCAUGUCCCUCUCUUAAUAAAAACACUUUCAUAAUUUUUCAGAUUUCAUGCACAACACAUAGGAUUGAAACUUCGUACAUAUUUAUUUAUUUUGCUCCUUUGCACCCCAUUAGUUUUAUUUCUACUUUGCACAUUCUUCCAUUGCAAAUCUACCAUUCCAGUGUUUUACUUGCUAUAUUGUAUUUACUUUGCCACCAUGGCCUUUUUUUUGCCUUUACCUCCCUUAUCUCACCUCAUUUGCUCACAUCGUAUAUAGACUUGUUUAUACUGUAUUAUUGACUGUAUGUUUGUUUUACUCCAUGUGUAACUCUGUGUCGUUGUAUCUGUCGAACUGCUUUGCUUUAUCUUAGCCAGGACGCAAUUGUAAAUGAGAACUUGUUCUC